GACGAACGCUGGCGGCGUGCUUAACACAUGUAAGUCGAACGGAAAGGCCCUGCUUUUGUGGGGUGCUCGAGUGGCGAACGGGUGAGUAACACGUGAGUAACCUGCCCUUGACUUUGGGAUAACUUCAGGAAACUGGGGCUAAUACCGGAUAGGAGCUCCUGCUGCAUGGUGGGGGUUGGAAAGUUUCGGCGGUUGGGGAUGGACUCGCGGCUUAUCAGCUUGUUGGUGGGGUAGUGGCUUACCAAGGCUUUGACGGGUAGCCGGCCUGAGAGGGUGACCGGCCACAUUGGGACUGAGAUACGGCCCAGACUCCUACGGGAGGCAGCAGUGGGAAUAUUGCACAAUGGGCGGAAGCCUGAUGCAGCAACGCCGCGUGCGGGAUGACGGCCUUCGGGUUGUAAACCGCUUUCGCCUGUGACGAAGCGUGAGUGACGGUAAUGGGUAAAGAAGCACCGGCUAACUACGUG
rnacentral:rRNA from 1 species